CCUCAGGCAGUCCAUUUUCCUGUGUUUUGGUACCUAAAUGAAUAGGCUGUAACCCGGCUCAGCUGCUGCAAAGAUGCCGGACAGAAAUACCAGGAUGGAAGCAAAUGGACUCCUGAAACAACCAGCAAACCAGGCUGUCGUCUUGUGAAACGGUGGAUGUAAAGAAUCUAGCUAGAUAAAAGCGUUUACUGCAAAUUGAAUGUACAAUUUUGUAAGCUUGCCUUGUGGAUAACGUAACUAGCUAACUAUGUUCCUGCUUAUUGGGCAGUGGAGGAUCAAAUCCCUGUAUGCCUAUGGAUGUGUAGCUGUCCAGCUGAUCUGUGCAUGGACCCAAACGUUUGGUAUACAUAUUAGUUCAGAACCUAGAUAUGAACUUUAACCAUCAUAGCUGGUUGUAUCAACUUCAAAACAGUCUGAAUGACAUUAAUGAAGCCUAUGGAUUGAGUAGAAUAUAACUUUGUGCCAAGGAUGCAAGUCGUAUAUACAUGUAGCAUGAGAUCCCCACAUUGUAGCCUGUACAUUUAAUAUAUUCACUAAUCAUGUACUCUACCUUGGUAAAUAAAGGUGCAGUUCAGGUA